AGCAGCCGCGGUAAUUCCAGCUCCAAUAGCGUAUAUUAAAGUUGUUGCAGUUAAAAAGCUCGUAGUUGAAUUUCGGGAUUAGUACGUUGGUCGUGCCUUGGUACGUACUGGUGUAACUGAUUCCUCCCUUCUGACGAACCGUUAUGCCAUUAAUUUGGUGUGGCGGGAAAUCAGGACUGUUACUUUGAAAAAAUUAGAGUGUUUAAAGCAGGCUCGCGCUUGAAUACAUUAGCAUGGAAUAAUGAAAUAGGACGUUAAUCCUAUUUUGUUGGUUUCUAGGAUCGACGUAAUGAUUAAUAGGGAUAGUUGGGGGCAUUAGUAUUCAAUUGUCAGAGGUGAAAUUCUUGGAUUUAUUGAAGACUAACUACUGCGAAAGCAUUUGCCAAGGAUGUUUUCAUUAAUCAAGAACGAAAGUUAGGGGAUCGAAGACGAUCAGAUACCGUCGUAGUCUUAACCAUAAACUAUGCCGACUAGGGAUCGGAUGAUGUAAUUUUUAAUGACUCAUUCGGCGCCUUACGGG
rnacentral:rRNA from 1 species